rnacentral:rRNA from 1 species
GAUGAACGCUGGCGGCGUGCCUAAUACAUGCAAGUCGAGCGAACGGACGAGAAGCUUGCUUCUCUGAUGUUAGCGGCGGACGGGUGAGUAACACGUGGAUAACCUACCUAUAAGACUGGGAUAACUUCGGGAAACCGGAGCUAAUACCGGAUAAUAUUUUGAACCGCAUGGUUCAAAAGUGAAAGACGGUCUUUCUGUCACUUAUAGAUGGAUCCGCGCUGCAUUAGCUAGUUGGUAAGGUAACGGCUUACCAAGGCAACGAUGCAUAGCCGACCUGAGAGGGUGAUCGGCCACACUGGAACUGGGACACGGUCCAGACUCCUACGGGAGGCAGCAGUAGGGAAUCUUCCGCAAUGGGCGAAAGCCUGACGGAGCGACGCCGCGUGAGUGAUGAAGGUCUUCGGAUCGUAAAGCUCUGUUAUUAGGGAAGAACAUAUGUGUAAGUAACUGUGCACAUCUUGACGGUACCUAAUCAGAAAGCCACGGCUAACUACGUG